GCCGCGGUGGCGGAAUUGGCAGACGCGCAUGGCUUAGGACCAUGUCCUGUAAGGGGUGGGAGUUCAACUCUCCCCCGCGGCA
rnacentral:tRNA from 1 species